AGAUUAAACUAAAGAGUUUGAUCCUGGCUCAGAUUGAACGCUGGCGGCAUGCCUUACACAUGCAAGUCGAACGGCAGCACGGAGCUUGCUCUGGUGGCGAGUGGCGAACGGGUGAGUA
rnacentral:rRNA from 1 species